GGCCGGCGCGCCGCCGUCCCGCAUGGAGCCCCGGCUGCGUGCUGGGGCCGCGCGGGCCGUUCUGGUCAGCUGCUAGAAGCACUCGGCCUGUCUGAAACGCUUGUUUUUCAUGUUUUCCUCAUCUGUUUUCUAUUUCAACCUCUGUCUUCUCUCUGUUUCUAUUGACUCUAUUUAUAUUUAUCUCACUUUAAUUAAUCUCUUGUGAUCAACUGGCAAAGCACGUCAUGGGUGUGUCUCCUUGAAAACUGGUGGCAAUGAACCUUAAGGUGGACUAUUUUGAAGCCGGAAGUGAUACACAGGAGGUGGAUCCUUCACUUAGGAAGGCUUCAGAAAUACUUCAGGGACGAUCUCCACGAAUAAGCAGUACCUGGAAGUGCUGUAUAACCUGUAUUUUCAGGAAACUUCCAACUCCUUCCUCCAUAGAGAAGAGGAGCAGGAAUCCAUAUCGCUACUUUCUCCAGCAUCAGUGAAAAAAGGACACUUGACCACCUUUUCCUCUAGAGCAAACAGUGAAUUUGGGCAGAGGGAGCAGCCAGAAAACUGGGUGGAGGCAGAAGUUAGAUGUGGGCUGAUACAUAAGGUCUGCUGGGGAUCCUCAGCUCCCCUUGGUAUUAGAUGGAUUACCUGGAUUUUUGCUUAAGGAUUCUCACAGCCCAAAUGUGUCAGAGUUCUCUGCCGGGAAUUUCCUGGUUAUAACACAGAGACUGGAAACAAGCAGAGAGAAGCCGCAUCAUGUUAAUGCUUGUAGAGAAGGAUGAAACAAGUUGAUGUGGUUUUCUGCGUCUGCCAGACAUUGGCAUUUUAUCUUCAGCUCCAGCGAGGUUCACUAAUGAGGAGUCAAGGCUAUCCACUGCAUGCCCAAAGAGUAUGUUACUCCCAGAUAAAGAGCCCUUAAAUAGUGCAUUAACAUUUUUAAGCAUUUAUGUGAUUUAGCUAGUUUCUUUGUGUAAGCUGUAAACCAGUAGUCGAUCAUAGACACAUACAGAUGUCCAGGCUCACUGGUGUGUGGUCAGAGAUAAUGAAUAGCACUGGCAGUUCAACGCUGUAAUAAACAUGCAGGGAAACCUGCUAUUAAAGAUAAC
rnacentral:lncRNA from 1 species